UGGGUUCCUGACUCCUUCUUUCUUUUUCUCCCAUACUCAUCCUGAUCCACCUUCCAGGAUCUUAAGCCACAGAGGGAGAAGGUCCUGAGUGGAGAAGAGACAUUGGUAUCUAAUUUUUCUUCUAGAUCUCUGCUCACAUCCCCUACACAGAGAGUUCUUCCCCAGUCACUGGGCAGAGUCCUGCUCCACCCCCAGUAUAAGAAGAUACUAACUAGCCUUAUCCUGCAUCUGCUUCCUGGACAAUGAGUUUACUUCGAGAACUACUGCUUACAUCUCCACUUGUUUCUUUUUGCUGCCCUUCAGUGGACUGUAGACUCUGCAGGCAAACGUCUUCUGAAAAUCAUCCUGUAGAGUCUUCCUGGCCCUGUGCUGAAGCUCACAAAGCUGCUGACCGUGUGGCAAUGGACAACCCUUUGAAAGUCUGCCCUUCAGCUGGCGCUUUGUACUCUGGGCUGGAGAACUCUGGACAGCACACCCCACCCUCACCUGAAGCACACAGAGGCACAGAGGGGGAUGUCUUGCUUGUGCUUCUAAACAUGGAAAUUCCACCAAGAACUUAAGGACAAGAACCUAUUACUUGAUGAAAUCAGGCCACUCUACAGAGUUGCAUACAAACCUGAUUGUGUUCAGAGAGAAAGGAGAUAGGCAGAUUCUGUCAAAUUGGAUUUAAAAUGUAUUAAAGGCUCUGAAUGUUUGAGGGAACCCUAGGGUGAUGCUGAGUGGGAAUCUUACAGAGAGAAAAAAAUGCAUGCUUGAAAAUUCUGCUUCGUUCACACAUCCAUUCACUUCAUCAUAAAGCAAACCCAUUGUGUGCUCAGCAGUGCUUCGGUGCUGAGUGAUAUGAAGACAAGUAAUAGGCAAGACUCUGCUUGUGUGUGUGUGUGUGUGUGUGUGUGUGUGUGUGUGUGUAGCUGGGAAUCCAACUCAAAGCCUUCUGCAUGACAAGUGAGUACUCCAUUCCAGGCACAGAGAUAAAGAGACAGCCCCCCCGCUGUGCUUUUUGAAGGUAGGGAAUGUGCUGAGAAGUAGACAAGACCCCUCCCAGAGUACCUGAAAUUAAAUCAGGCAUCUGUGUACAUGAGAACAUACAAGGGCCACCCUGCCCUAAUAUGGCAAUAAUAGUUUCCUCACCUUUCCAGGUCGGUUGCUGAGACCUACCUGAGCUGUGUCCCUCUUGCUCAGUUGGCAUUCCUCCCUCCCUGACCCUUCACAGUAACAAUAGCAGGAGAGGUUCACAGGGAAGGCUCUGGUGGAAGAGUUGGGGGACCACUUUGGUAUUAUGGGAUGGACAGUUAUUCUAAGUACACAGAGCAGGAAAAGCUAGCCUCCUCUCACUCCCCAGAAGUGGCAUGCCUUUCCUGUCCUCAUCUUCUUCUUCUGCCUUUCUUCCUGCUGCCUCCAACGUGUGGCUCCAGGAAAACCAAGUGUCUCUGAGGCCAAUUGUCCACAGUCAUGGAGAAAGCAUGCAAAGUGGCAUUUUCUCUGAAUUACAGCUGGUGCAGGAGAGACGGCUGCUUUACAUAUGUCAGCUUCACGAUGCCUGGGGAAGUGGCUGUGCUG
rnacentral:lncRNA from 1 species